GGUGUGCGAUAGACUUACCUCCACGUGGUGCACCCUGGGCAACGUAUACUUAUACGGCAAAAAGGUCAAU
rnacentral:ribozyme from 1 species